AGUACACUGAAAGUACAUUUUCACACAGACUGGUUUAUUUGUAGUAUAUCAAGAGGAAAAACGUAAUGUGCACAAUGUAAAAAAAAAGGAAGAAGAAAUGUGUGCCUGGUUCUGAAGACUCUCCAGAGAGGUUAAAAGAAAAGCCAGAACUAUCAGCUUGGGGCUGUUUUUUACAGUUUCUGACAAGAUCUUAAAUCAGGCUUCACUGUACAGAAUUAUAAUUUAUCAUGUCGUAUACAGAUAUUUCUUAUAAUUCAGCUAAAGAGAAAAAAAAGGCACAGCCAUCAACCAAUAGACAAGAGCAAACACUGUUGUGUUUUUAGUAGCAGUGUGCAGUUGUGUGUGUUUCUCCUUCUUCUGUAGGGUGGGACAGGCUCAGCUGGUUCCAGGUGCAGCCUGUUUUGAGACAAUCGGCCCGGUAUGAAGAGGAGCAGCUUCAAGCAGUUGCCAGAUGGUUAACUCACCUUGUGUGUCUCAGUCUGGAUUAUUCUGGCUGCUUGGUCCUCUGCUGCACUCCCCUGGUUCCAGUUGCUAACACUUUAGAAAAGGAAACAUCAGUGGUCGUGCCACAACUGCUGCCUCUGGAUUACCAACAUCCAACACUAAGUAAGACCCACCAGUCCUACAGUAUAUACAUGUCCGGUUUUAGAAAAUAUAUUCAUCACUCAUCCUCUCUUGCAGACAUAGUUUCAUUUCCAGUUCCUGGGUUCCA